CUGGUUAGAAUACAUUCUUCUUUAUUAAUGAAGAACACUUAAACAAAAACAACAAUUGACUGCUAUAUAAACAAUGUGCUAACGUAUAACAUAGACAAUAACCCACGAAAUACCCAAAGAAGAUGGCUGCCUAAAUAUGGUUCCCAAUCAGAGACAACGAUAAACACCUGCCUCUAAUUGAAAACCAAUCUAGGCAACCAUAGACCUACAUAAACACCUAGAUGGAAACAACCCCAUAAAUCUACAAAACCCCUAGACAGUGAAAACACCCUAGAUGAGACAAAACACACAUACCACCCUCGUCACACCCUGACCUAACCAAAAUAUAUAAAGAAAACAAAGAAUACUCAGGUCAGGGCGUGACAGUAUGACAUUGUAAUCAGCCAUCAACAAACCUUGACAUAAAAUGAACGAUGUAUCCAAACACCAGUCUACUUUUAUUUCAAAAGUUGUCACACACCUAGCCCUAGAUCAGAAAACAUACUAGGCAUGCUAUACAAAACAUAACAAUACAAUACAAUAACCUACAAUACAAUGCAACACAAUACAAUAAAUAGGCUAUCGACCUAUAUGGAAAAAUACCCAUCUGUUUCAUUUGUGCCAAAUAAUUUGUAGGCCCUAUUAAAGUUCAUUUACACUGCUCAUGACUGUAAAACAAAUGUCUGUUCUUGUGCACAUGCAGUCAUGGUGCACACACCCCUUUCAGACCCAUCCUCUUCUAGCUGAAAUAGACACAGAUACACUUUUGCUGUUCAGAGACUCAACCCUCUUCAACAUGAACAAAGCUCUGGUCUGUGCUGUCUUCAUCUUGCUGGUGCUUUCUGUGUUCACAGAAGCCAUGGAGGGGAAUCCUAUAAACCCAAAUGUCAAGGUGAAUGCAACCAGCGCCCCAAACAAGGCAUCCGGGGUAAGCACCUUGACACUUCCGUUUUUGCUGCAGUUGGGGCUGAUGGUUGCACCUGCCUUACUUCAAACUCUGCUGUAGCACUUGCUAUGCUCUCCUUCCACAAGACUCUGCAGAACUUCUGCAAGAACGGGGGCAACAACAUAACAAUAGCUUCAAUGACUAGGCCUACUAUAUUUACCGGUACUGUAGACCCUAGCUGACCCGUUUCCAUGAUUGAACACCGUGAAAUUCUUAACCCAAAUGAUCUUGUAAUAACCAUACAGAUACAGAAAUAAAUGUGUGUAUCUACACUCUUCUUGAUAUUUUAUUUCUCUGUCUGAUAGAUGGAGCCAUGUGCAGACUAUGCCUAUGACCUAUUGUUGGCUAGGGAUAGGCUAGGCCUUGAAAAAAAUUACGAAACGUUGAUAGUGCUGGAAAACUCACAGCAGGACAUAGAAGAGACAAAUGAAAAGCAAGCUUUACUUGGCUCAUCGCACUCUAGUGACUCCUUGCACCGGGCCGUGCGCCUGCAGGCUGACUUCGGUUUUCAGUUGAACAGUGUUUCCUCCGUCACAUUCUUCUGGGUUUAGCAGGCGGGUGUUAAGGAGCGCGGUUUGUCUGGUCAUGUUUCGGGAGGACGCGUGACUUGACCUUCGCCUCUCCCGAGCCCGUUGGGGAGUUGCAGCGAUGAGACAAGAUCGUAAUUGGAUAUGACGAAAUUGGGGAGAAAAAGAAGUCAAAUGUAACAAAUCACAUACUAAUAAGUUAUAUGGACUCAAACUGUGUGAAAUAAUAUGAUUUUUGAAUAACUAGCCCUUCCUCUGUCCCCCAUACAUACAACAUCUAUAAGGUCCCUCAGUCAAGUAUUGAAUUUCAAGCACAUAUUCAACUAAAAUGACCAGGGGACUUUUCGAAAGCCUCAUAAAGAAGAGCAGUGAUUGGUAGAUGUGUAACAAUAACAAAUCAGACAUGAAAUAUAUCUUUAAGCACGGUCCAGUUAAUAAUUAUGCUGUGGAUGAUGCAUUAAACUACUUAGACACAUCAAAGAUGCAGUCGACCUUCUGAACUGAGCUGCAGGACAGGAAAUGAACUGAGUUCAAUGGCUGUGAUGGUAAAAAAAAACGAGGAUGGAUCAACAGCAUUUUAUUAACCUAAUUGACAGAGUGAAAAAAAUAAUACAAAUAUACAGACAAAAAUAUUCCAAAACAUGCAUACAGUAUGUAUGCAACAAGACACUGAAGUAAUGUGAAGUAAAGUGAAAAGAACAAUGGGCAUAUAUGGCACAAUACAGGUGUGCAAAGCUCUUAUGAGACUUACCCAAGAAGACUCACAGCUGUAAUCGCUGCCAAAGGUGAGUCCAACAUGUAUUGACUCAGAGGGUGAAUACUUAUCUAAUCAAGGUAUAGUAGUGUUUUAUUUUUCAUUAAUCUUAAAAAAUGUAACACAUUUUUCUUCCACUUGGAUAUUAUAGAGUAUUUCAUGUAGAUAGUUGCCAAAAGGGACAAUUAGUCUAAAUCUUUUUUAAUCCUACUUUGUAAAACAAUAAAAUGUGAAGAAAUCCAAGGGGAUUGUAGACUUUUAUAGGCACUGUACACAGACUAGACAUACAGUGGGGCAAAAAAGCAUUUAGUCAGCCACCAAUUGUGCAAGUUCUCCCACUUAAAAAGAUGAGAGAGGCCUGUAAUUUUCAUCAUAGGUACACU
rnacentral:lncRNA from 13 species